rfam:Glycine soja cultivar W05 scaffold4110_5, whole genome shotgun sequence.
GGCUCUUAGCAAUGGAUAUCAUAUCUUUUGCAUUGAUGAAGAACGUAGCGAAAUGCUAUGCUUGGUGUGAAUUGUAGAAUCCUGUGAACUAUCGAGUCUUUGAAUGCAAGUUGCAUCCGAAGCCAUUAGGCUGAAGGCAUGCCUGCCUGACUAAGU